UACGAAGGGGGCUAGCGUUGCUCGGAAUCACUGGGCGUAAAGGGUGCGUAGGCGGGUUUUUAAGUCAGAGGUGAAAUCCUGGAGCUCAACUCCAGAACUGCCUUUGAUACUGAAAGUCUUGAGUAUGGGAGAGGUGAGUGGAACUGCGAGUGUAGAGGUGAAAUUCGUAGAUAUUCGCAAGAACACCAGUGGCGAAGGCGGCUCACUGGCCCGAUACUGACGCUGAGGCACGAAAGCGUGGGAGCAA
rnacentral:rRNA from 1 species